GAAGUUCGUCAGGCAGUCGCUGUGUGCUUCGGCGCAUGGAGGAAAGUCCGGGCCCCGCAGGGCAGGAUGCCGGCUAACGGCCGGGCGCCGUGAGGCGACGGAAAGUGCAACAGAAAACAUACCGCCGAUGGCUCCGCAAGGAGAUCAGGCAAGGUUGAAAUGGUGUCAAGCCGAGCGUGAGCGAGGUUUGGCGCAUUGCGCAAGCAGUGCGGGGUAAGAGCCCACCGCAGUUCCUGGUAACAGGGCUGGCUAGGUAAACCCCAUCCGGGGCAAGGCCAAAUAGGGGGGCGUUGAUGUGGCCCGCAGAGCCCCCGGGUAGGCUGCUAGAGCGGCACGGUAACGUGUCGCCCAGAGGAAUGACUGCCCCGUCGGCGCAAGCCGGCGCGACAGAACCCGGCUUAUCGACGAACUUCCCCC
rnacentral:RNase_P_RNA from 2 species